rnacentral:rRNA from 1 species
UGCCUACGGGGGGCAGCAGUCGGGAAUAUUGCGCAAUGGAGGAAACUCUGACGCAGUGACGCCGCGUAUAGGAAGAAGUUUUUCGGAAUGUAAACUAUUGUCGUUAGGGAAGAGAAAGGACAGUACCUAAGGAGGAAGCUCCGGCUAACUACGUGCCAGCAGCCGCGGUAAUACGUAGGGAGCGAGCGUUGUCCGGAUUUACUGGGUGUAAAGGGUGCGUAGGCGGCUAGGCAAGUCAGAAGUGAAAUCCAUGGGCUUAACCCAUGAACUGCUUUUGAAACUGCGUAGCUUGAGUGAAGUAGAGG